rnacentral:rRNA from 1 species
GUUAUAGGAUCAAGCGAAUAAGUGCAUAUGAUGGAUGCCUUGGCGAUCACAGGCGAUGAAGGACGCGGUAGCCUGCGAAAAGCUACGGGGAGCUGGCAAACAAGCUUUGAUCCGUAGAUGUCCGAAUGGGGAAACCCACCGUAGUAAUACGGUAUCCCAUGCUGAAUACAUAGGCAUGUGGAGGCGAACCGAGUGAACUGAACCAUCUCAGUAACUCGAGGAAAAGAAAUCAACCGAGAUUCCGGAAGUAGUGGCGAGCGAAACCGGACCAGCCUGGAUGUUUUAGCGUAGUGAAUAGUCGAAUGGAAUGGAAAGUCCAGCCGUAGCAGGUGAUAGCCCUGUAGGCGAAAUUCAGUACGUGGAACUAAGCAUCGAACAAGUAGGGCGGGACACGUGAAAUCCUGUCUGAAUAUGGGGGGACCAUCCUCCAAGGCUAAAUACUCGUGAUCGACCGAUAGUGAACCAGUACCGUGAGGGAAAGGCGAAAAGAACCCCGGAAGGGGAGUGAAAUAGAUCCUGAAAUCGUAUGCAUACAAACAGUAGGAGCACCUUCGUGGUGUGACUGCGUACCUUUUGUAUAAUGGGUCAGCGACUUACAUUCAGUGGCAAGCUUAACCGAAUAGGGGAGGCGUAGCGAAAGCGAGUCCGAAUAGGGCGAUUCAGUCGCUGGGUGUAGACCCGAAACCAGGCGAUCUAUCCAUGGCCAGGUUGAAGGCACGGUAACACGUGCUGGAGGACCGAACCCACUAAUGUUGAAAAAUUAGGGGAUGAGCUGUGGAUCGGAGUGAAAGGCUAAACAAGCCUGGAGAUAGCUGGUUCUCUCCGAAAACUAUUUAGGUAGUGCCUCGUAUAUUACUGCCGGGGGUAGAGCACUGUUAUGGCUAGGGGGUCACAGCGACUUACCAACCCAUGGCAAACUCCGAAUACCGGCAAGUACAGUACGGGAGACAGAGCACCGGGUGCUAACGUCCGGACUCAAGAGGGAAACAACCCAGACCGCCAGCUAAGGUCCCUAACUAUGGCUAAGUGGGAAACGAAGUGGGAAGGCAUAGACAGUCAGGAGGUUGGCUUAGAAGCAGCCAUCCUUUAAAGAAAGCGUAAUAGCUCACUGAUCGAGUCGUCCUGCGCGGAAGAUGUAACGGGGCUAAGCCAUAGACCGAAGCUGCGGAUGUGUACUUUGUACACAUGGUAGGAGAGCGUUCCGUAAGCCUGUGAAGGUGUUCCGUGAGGAAUGCUGGAGGUAUCGGAAGUGAGAAUGCUGACAUGAGUAGCGAUAAAGGGGGUGAAAAGCCCCCUCGCCGUAAGUCCAAGGUUUCCUGCGCAACGUUCAUCGGCGCAGGGUGAGUCGGCCCCUAAGGCGAGGCAGAGAUGCGUAGCUGAUGGGAAGCGGGUUAAUAUUCCCGCACCGUCGUAGAGUGCGAUGGGGGGACGGAUUGCAGAAUGUUAUCGGGGUGUUGGAUGUCCCCGUUGGCGCAUCAUAGAAGGCACUUAGGCAAAUCCGGGUGCGUAAUUCAAGGGUGUGACUGGAUAGAGCUUCGGCUCUAAACUAACUGGAAGCAGUUCCAAGAAAAGCCUCUAAGCUUCAGCUCUACGAGACCGUACCGCAAACCGACACAGGUGGACGGGAUGAAUAUUCCAAGGCGCUUGAGAGAACUCAGGAGAAGGAACUCGGCAAAUUAAUACCGUAACUUCGGGAGAAGGUAUGCCUCAUUAGUGUGAUGUGCCUGCGCACAAAGCAUGAAGAGGCCGCAGUGAAUCGGUGGCUGCGACUGUUUACUAAAAACACAGCACUCUGCAAACACGAAAGUGGACGUAUAGGGUGUGACGCCUGCCCGGUGCCGGAAGGUUAAGUGAUGGGGUGCAAGCUCUUGAUCGAAGCCCCGGUAAACGGCGGCCGUAACUAUAACGGUCCUAAGGUAGCGAAAUUCCUUGUCGGGUAAGUUCCGACCUGCACGAAUGGCGUAACGAUGGCCACACUGUCUCCUCCUGAGACUCAGCGAAGUUGACAUGGUUGUGAUGAUGCAAUCUCCCCGCGGCUAGACGGAAAGACCCCAUGAACCUUUACUGUAGCUUUGCAUUGGAUUGUGAACCGGCCUGUGUAGG